AACGAACGCUGGCGGCAUGCCUAACACAUGCAAGUCGAACGAGACCUUCGGGUCUAGUGGCGCACGGGUGCGUAACACGUGGGAACCUGCCCUUAGGUUCGGAAUAACUCACCGAAAGGUGUGCUAAUACCGGAUAAUGUCUUCGGACCAAAGAUUUAUCGCCUUUGGAUGGGCCCGCGUAGGAUUAGCUAGUUGGUGAGGUAAUGGCUCACCAAGGCGACGAUCCUUAGCUGGUCUUAGAGGAUGAUCAGCCACACUGGGACUGAGACACGGCCCAG
rnacentral:rRNA from 1 species